UGGGGAAUCUUGCACAAUGGGCGAAAGCCUGAUGCAGCGACGCCGCGUGGGCGAAGAAGGCCUUUGGGCCGUAAAGCCCUGUCGGGAGGGAAGAAGGAAGCGACGGUACCUCCCAAGGAAGCCCCGGCUAACUACGUGCCAGCAGCCGCGGUAACACGUAGGGGGCGAGCGUUAUCCGGAAUCAUUGGGCGUAAAGGGUGCGUAGGCGGCCUUUUAAGCGCGGGGUCUAAGGCGGUGGCCCAACCACCGUUCGCCCCGCGAACUGGAGGGCUAGAGUGUCGGAGAGGGAAGCGGAAUUCCUAGUGUAGCGGUGAAAUGCGUAGAUAUUAGGAGGAACACCAGUGGCGAAGGCGGCUUCCUGGACGAAGACUGACGCUGAGGCACGAAAGCGUGGGGAGCGAACAGG
rnacentral:rRNA from 1 species